UGUAGCUCAAUGAUAGAGCACUUGCCUGGCAUGCACAAGGCCCUGGGUUCCAUCCCCAGCA
rnacentral:tRNA from 1 species